UACGAAGGGGGCUAGCGUUGCUCGGAAUCACUGGGCGUAAAGCGCACGUAGGCGGAUUCUUAAGUCAGGGGUGAAAUCCUGGAGCUCAACUCCAGAACUGCCUUCGAUACUGGAAACCUCGAGUCCGGGAGAGGUGAGUGGAACUGCGAGUGUAGAGGUGAAAUUCGUAGAUAUUCGCAAGAACACCAGUGGCGAAGGCGGCUCACUGGCCCGGUACUGACGCUGAGGUGCGAAAGCGUGGGGAGCAAACAGG
rnacentral:rRNA from 1 species